GUGGGGAAUCUUCCACAAUGGACGAAAGUCUGAUGGAGCAACGCCGCGUGAGUGAAGAAGGGUUUCGGCUCGUAAAGCUCUGUUGUCGGGGACGAAUGUGCAGUAUUUGAAUAAAGUACUGUAAUGACGGUACCUGACGAGGAAGCCACGGCUAACUACGUGCCAGCAGCCGCGGUAAUACGUAGGUGGCAAGCGUUGUCCGGAAUUAUUGGGCGUAAAGGGAGCGCAGGCGGGAAGGUAAGUCGGUCUUAAAAGUGCGGGGCUCAACCCCGUGAUGGGAUCGAAACUAUCUUUCUUGAGUGCAGGAGAGGAAAGUGGAAUUCCUAGUGUAGCGGUGAAAUGCGUAGAUAUUAGGAGGAACACCAGUGGCGAAGGCGGCUUACUGGACUGUAACUGACGCUGAGGCGCGAAAGUGUGGGGAGCAAACAGGAUUAGAUACCCUGGUAGUCC
rnacentral:rRNA from 1 species